CCACACUAUCAAUUGCGUCAAAGAUUUUAGGUUUGCAGGGUGUUUCUUUCGAGACACCUUCAAUUAUCCUCGCGCUGAUUAUCCUCGCGCUGAUUGUUCACCAUUAUUUCUCAGUGUAGGAAUUUUAUUUUCAAAAUUCAAUCUUUUGAGCUAGAUUAAGUAUACCUAUACUUGUCAUUAAUUUGUAUGUUCAUAUAGUCAUGGUUAAUCCACCUCAUUUCUGUUACUCUCCAUGACAAUGCCAUUUACAAAUGAUUUUCCAUCACUCAAUAUAAAAUUACCAUAUACAAUUAUUUAAAUAACUUUCAUGCUCUACUUUGACUAAGCUUUCUAUAUAAAUACAUAGCAACAAAUGCACAUACUACUUAUUUGUUUUCAUUAUAGUUCAACCAAGAACAAAUUCACUAACAGAUUCAGAACAAUAAAAGGAAGUAGUAGUAUAUAUCAGCAGUAAGUUGGAACAUUGACAGGUUUGUAAACAAAGGUUCUGACAGCAUGUGAAUACCCUGAUGGAUGAUUGUAACUGAAUUUCACCCCUGCGCUACCACCACCAAGAGUUGUGCAGUGAUCAUGGAAACUACUGAUUGGUCGAGCAAGACAUGCAUCCCAACGAUCAGUCUCGGGCAUUGUCUCGGCUACUGUGUAUAUCCCCUUAGCAUCUGUAAAUGCUUGAUAGUUUAGAACUUCGCCGGACUUGGUGAUGCAUAGAACAGCAACUUCAGCACCUGCAUUAUACAUCAUUCAAAACCAACCAUGUUAAAAUAAAUCCAGGGAAAAUCAAUUCUAGUUUAAACCAAAAAGUUUGGAGUGCGAUUUUUUUCUUUCCACUUUCCUUUUAUAUUAGCACAAAAGUUGGAGUUGUUCUGUGUGACUAGAUGUUACAGCCUUAUGGGUUUGAGUCAUGAAAUUAAUCUAUUGCAAAUGUAAGGUAAGACUGCCUACAAUAGUUCUGUAAUGGAUCCAACCCUUCCUUGGAUCUUGCUACGGCAGGAGCCCUGUAUCACCAGCCUUUUCCCGUUUAUCCAUUCCCUUUUAUAAUAAAAGAUAUAUGUAGCACUGACACUUAGGAUUGAAGGAGAUUUUGUUGUCCAGCAUGUGUUAGAAUCUGAUAUCGACAUGAGACAUGUGGUUACAAUUACAUUCAAUUAUCACUUCUAUUUUCUUAAAUUAUUAUUGGUGUCUACAUGUCAGUGUCGUGUGCAGUGUAUACGUGUCAGUGUCAAUGCUUCAUAGGAUCUAAACCAAAUCUAGAGGAUGACCAUUUGACCACAUUCACCUGUCCUUUGUUGUAUCAUUGUUUAAAUUCAAACUGACUCAUUACCAAAAUGGUUAAAUAUGAAAAUGGGGUUUACUUAGAAGCCACAUACACUAGGAUAAGAGAAAGUCCCAUUUUUUAUGGAGACAACAAUAAAUUAGGUUUGUCAACUAGUCAUAGAACCAAUAUCAAAUGUUGCUAAAAAGCCUUAGAAUACAUCCAUGAGACGUCGCAUCAAAGG
rnacentral:lncRNA from 1 species